UUCAUUAAUUUUUUUCUUCAUUUUUAGGAUUACAAAGAUUUGUUGUGUGUGUUCUGCAGACUGUGAUUAUGUGUCUGCCUUUAUGUUGUAGUGAUGUUCAUUUCUUCUUGUUCUGAAUGUUUUUGGCCCAUUGAUUAUGAUAAGAAUGAAUAGUUCACUGUCCUUAUUCUUCGAUGAUUUGUUAUAAUUGUAUUGGCAUUUCGCAGAACUUAAUCCUUGCUGUGACCUUUGUUUGAAUGUUUACAUUUGCCUGUGUCAUAAACAUAAGUGUUAGAAAAUUUUCAAGGGCAGGUCAAUUGUUAAGAUGAAUUAUUGUUGUUGCCUAGACCUUGAAGCUCCAUGAAGUCAUGAACUCUCUUCAUUAGUAAACCCCCUUGUCUUCAUUUGGAAACAAAUCAAACUGAGUUGGUAAACAAUACAAUAUUUAUAUCCUCAUUUAAGUCUUUUCUCUUUGCUACAAAUAAGCUCCUACUGCUAGAAACACGCCUUGCUAUGUUAGAGUCCUGAUUCCCUAACACUAAACAUGUAAACUGUUGUUUUCAGUUCUUAAUGCCAUGUUAGUAAUGUCAUUUGAAAUUGCUAAAGUUUCUUUUCGGCUUUUAUCCUAAAAAAGAAAGAACUUUUUUCUAUCUCCUUCAUUAAGAAGUCAUGUACUCUGAUAUGUAUGUCUCUUCAUGUCACUGCAUUUGUACUUGAUAAUGACUUUGUAUAAUUUACGGGGGCCAGUCGCUUGUAACGGGUUCAUCUAAAACUAAAACAGUGGAUUACUAGAAAUGAGUAUGUGAAUUUGAUUGCUAUGCUUAUGAUUCCUCUAUGUUAAAAAUGUUCUACCAGCCCAGAUGGCAAGUUUCUGGUAUUUUUAUCGGCAAGAAGUUCAGUUGACUUUGGAGCCCACUCUACUACAAAUUAACUUCAUAGACUUGAUUGGCGUACUGACAUGAAGCAAAAUCCAUGGCUUUCCGAUGGCUACACCAUGAUUAUACAAUCUAUCUGGCACAGCAAUCAAGUCUUAAUUUCUGUCAAUGUAUUGAGUGGAGAGAUAUAACGCAUCACCCUUGCCGACUCAAAUUUCUCCUAGAGUCUCCUUAGCUUGGAUGG